rnacentral:tRNA from 1 species
GACCGGGUAGCUCAAUUGGUAGAGCAUCGGCCUUUUAAGCCGCAGGUUCUGGGUUCGAGUCCCAGCCCGGUCAC